GGCUAGGUAUCCUAGCAGUCAAGGGUAUGGACUCUGAAGCCAGACUCCCUGGGUUCAAAUCCCAGCUUGAUCA
rnacentral:tRNA from 1 species